AUUGAAAGCUGGCGUCUUCGGCGUCCGCAUUGUAAUCUCAAGAAGUGUUUUCCGCUUCGGACCAAGCCUAAGUCCCCUGGAAAGGGGCAUCAUAGAGGGUGAUAAUCCCGUACAUGGCUUGGAGCGCCCGAGGCUUUGUGAUACGCUUUCUAAGAGUCGAGUUGUUUGGGAAUGCAGCUCAAAAUGGGUGGUAAAUGCCAUCUAAGGCUAAAUAUUGGGGAGAGACCGAUAGCGAACAAGUACAGUGAUGGAAAGAUGAAGAGAACUUUGAAAAGAGAGUUAAACAGUACGUGAAAUUGCCAAAAGGGAAGGGUAGGAGGUCAGAGAUGCGGCCUGGGAUUCAGCCUUGCUUUUGCUUGGUGUUUUUCCCAGAUUGCAGGCCAACGUCUGUUUUGGGCACUGGAGAAGGGUAGGAGGAACCUGCCCCCCCUCGGGGUGUGUUAUAGCCUCCUACUGGAUACAGCGACCGAGACCGAGGACAGCAGCGUACUCGCAAGAGCGGGCCUUCGGGCACCUUUACGCUUAGGGCGUAGGCAUAAUGGCCCUCUACCACCCGUCUUGAAACACAGACCA
rnacentral:rRNA from 1 species